GGUUGUAUAGUGUAGCGGUUAUCACUCCGGAUUCUGACUCUCUUCAGGACAUUCCGGCAACCCCGGUUCGAUUCCGGGUACGACCU
rnacentral:tRNA from 1 species